rnacentral:tRNA from 1 species
GGAGGUGUGGCAGAGUGGUCGAAUGCACCGGUCUUGAAAACCGGCGUGCGUGAAAGCGUACCGUGGGUUCGAAUCCCACCGCCUCCGCCA